ACGUUGCUGCAAGAACUCAUCCUUCCCAGCUGGAAUGACAGCACCCACAGGCAUCAACCACAUGAGCUCUGGCCUCAGGAUCAAAAGGCAAAUUAAAGGCAUACAAAGUACAAGAACACGGCCUGCGCUGUGAUAACCACACAGAGCAGAGAAUGGGCUCUAAUGCUAGUUCUUGAUCUGCAACUUACUGGUUUUGACAUCUCAGGCAGAAAAAAGAACCACACAGGAAAUGGGCAAUACAGCCCUCCAAUCUUAUAACUAAGUUGGCAGAUUGGAAAGACAUCACUAGA